rnacentral:tRNA from 1 species
UAGCUCAGUGGUUAAGAGCACUGACUACUCUUCCAGAGGUCCUGGGUUCAAUUCCCAG